UGGGGGGAUUAUAGCCCUUGAAAAGCUAAUGAAACUUCUGAGAUCUCUUAUAAAAAAGCAUAACAUUUUACCUUCACCUUCAGUAGCUUCAUUGAAGCCACGAGUCUGUGGCCCUCAGGUUCUGCGAGGGGUCUCCGGAAGACUGGUCCACAAAGCCUGCUAGCCCAUGUUCUUGGAAGGUCAUGUCUUUCCAGCCGAGACGGUUGAGCCUCACAUCUGGAGGCCUCAUCCACGUUAGCUGCUCCUCCUCCACCAGGACCAAGGGAACUCGGAUCGGCCGGGGGACCUGGGAGCCGGUGCUUGGCACAGCCCUUUGCCAUUUUACCUGUAACACAAAAUUUCAAAAUUGUGAACGGGAUUGGGGUUUCUAGAUUUUAGGCUAUCACAGAUGAAUAAGAUGCAGUAUAACAAAACACAAGAACAAAAACCCUGUUUUUAUAAGAUGCAUCUGUAUUUAUAAGAUGGAGACUUGACCUAGAAUUUCCAGCCUUUAUUUCCUCAAAUGAGUACACUUAAAAAGCAACAGCUAGUACUACUAUCCAUGACCACCGUGUUUUCAUAAAGGAAAGGAGGUUUGAGUGCCACACAUGUAUGAAGGAUGUGAUCUCCAAUGAAGGAUGGCCCUUUGAAGAACAUCCUAGAACUUUAUGGGGAAAGUGACCUCAUUCUUGUUUUUCUAAAGUCAUCCCAGAUGUGACGUAAUUGUCACGGACUUCCUCCGCCCUCAGAAGGGACUGGCAUUGGAUAGCGUUCCCUUUCCACUGUCUGUGCCCAUCUCUGACUUUUCUGCUCCCUCAUGAAAGAAGGGUGAUUGGCAUGUUAGGAAAAGUUGUGAGAGACUUUGAACUGGGCAGAAAAGAUUAUUAUUGGCUGUCCCGUCUGGUUCCCUCUGGAUUAUCUUUGUCUUCCUUUGUCUUUGAGUAAAACUGUAGAAGACUGAUAAGAAUGCAAAUGCUUUCACCCACAGAAAUACAAAUGGUAUCCAGCGGAAAUGCCACCAAUCAUUGCC
rnacentral:lncRNA from 1 species